GAUGAACGCUGGCGGCGUGCCUAAUACAUGCAGGUCGAGCGAACGGACGAGAAGCUUGCUUCUCUGAUGUUAGCGGCGGACGGGUGAGUAACACGUGGAUAACCUACCUAUAAGACUGGGAUAACUUCGGGAAACCGGAGCUAAUACCGGAUAAUAUUUUGAACCGCAUGGUUCAAAAGUGAAAGACGGUCUUGCUGUCACUUAUAGAUGGAUCCGCGCUGCAUUAGCUAGUUGGUAAGGUAACGGCUUACCAAGGCAACGAUGCAUAGCCGACCUGAGAGGGUGAUCGGCCACACUGGAACUGAGACACGGUCCAGACUCCUACGGGAGGCAGCAGUAGGGAAUCUUCCGCAAUGGGCGAAAGCGUGACGGAGCAACGCCGCGUGAGUGAUGAAGGUCUUCGGAUCGUAAAACUCUGUUAUUAGGGAAGAACAUAUGUGUAAGUAACUGUGCACAUCUUGACGGUACCUAAUCAGAAAGCCACGGCUAACUACGUG
rnacentral:rRNA from 1 species